CCUGUGCCUAUGAUGGUGUUAAAUAUACUUUGAGACUGAUCUCUGUGAAAUUCAUCUAAUAUCUGAGGCAUGGG